rnacentral:lncRNA from 1 species
AUGAGUCCAGUCCGUCGCUUUCUCCCCUUGGUCGUGUGCUCGUGGAAUCUAAGAGAAACCUUCGAUCCCCGCCCCUCCCCAAGCCCGCAGGGACACUCGCUGGCCGGCCCACCCGCCACCAUCUCUGCGCCGGCCCCGGGCUGGGAGACGUCACCCCCGAGCAUCAGCACCAUGCAGGAGGACUCAGAGACCCUGCUGGCCUUGCAAAGGCCCAAUAUCGUGGCCCAGUACCAUCAGGCACACCAAGCAGGGUCUCCGCAGGACCUGUCACUGUACAAGGUCACCGACCACCAGGGCUUUCUGCAAUCCCCUGGAUACCCCUCAUCCAUCUCAGGGGACAAGGAGCUGCCCAGCCCCAGCCCCCGCGAGGCCAAGGUGAGAGCCAGUCCUGGGCCCCGGGCAGGAUGUGGGGGGGGCUGGGGCCAGCUGUCUGCACCCCGUCCCCCACAUCUCCCCAGUCCCCCGUCCCAGCGCUGCACGGGCUGCCGGGAACGCACCCCAGACCCGGAGCCCUGGUCCACGGGGGGCCCUGUGCCUUCCUGGCUCCUCCGGGUCCCGCGGGGGACUGGACGCGGCCUGAGCGCCCACCUCCCGCGGCUGGAGCCUCACCUGCGGCCCCCACUUGUCCUCUUCCAGAAACUCCGCCAGGAGACCCGGU